UCCUGCAUUGCUUUAGCUGCUUGGCUAACUAAUUCUUUCAAGCUUUGCUCCAUGCCCAACAACUCGUUUUUUUGCUCAAUUAUAAGGGCGGUAGAGGAACAAUCAAAACAAGCUAGUAUCUUGAGCUACUGCUUAAGUGAAGAAAACUCCCGAGAGCCGUAGAAAUGAACAGGGGUCAUAUCCAAGGCUUCCUCUAAUGUAGUCAGUGCUUCCUUCGCUUCUUGAGGAAAAAGACAAUGUUAGAAUUCGAAAGCUCAGACUCCAAGCUAGUGAAGAAUGUAUUCAUAUCUUCCUCGGUAGGAUCUUCAGGUUCA
rnacentral:lncRNA from 1 species